rnacentral:rRNA from 1 species
GGUGAACGCUGGCGGCGUGCUUAAGACAUGCAAGUCGAACGGCAGUCUUCGGACUGUAGUGGCGCACGGGUGAGUAACGCGUAACUGACCUACCCCAAAGUCGCGGAUAACGAUUCGAAAGAAUCGCUAAUACGUGAUGUGCUGUCAGAUUGUGUUCUGCCAGUAAAGAUUGAUUGCUUUGGGAUGGGGUUGCGUUCUAUCAGCUAGUUGGUGGGGUAAAGGCCCACCAAGGCGACGACGGAUAGCCGGCCUGAGAGGGUGGCCGGCCACAGGGGCACUGAGACACGGGUGACACUCCUACGGGAGGCAGCAGUUAGGAGUCUUCCACAAUGGGCGAAAGCCUGAUGGAGCGACGCCGCGUGAGGGAUGAAGGUCUUCGGAUCGUAAACCUCUGAAUCAGGGACGAAAGACACUUCGGUGGGAUGACGGUACCUGAGUAAUAGCACCGGCUAACUCCGUGCCAGCCGCCGCCGUAAAAC